rnacentral:rRNA from 1 species
AGCAGCCGCGGUAAUUCCAGCUCCAAUAGCGUAUAUUAAAGUUGCUGCAGUUAAAAAGCUCGUAGUUGAAUUUCGGGAUCAAUAUGUUGGUCGUGCCUCGGUACGUACUAGCUUAUUGGUUUCUCCCUUCUGACGAACCAUGAUGUCAUUUAUUUGGUGUUAUGAGGAAUCAGGACUGUUACUUUGAAAAAUUAGAGUGUUUAAAGCAGGCUCACGCUUGAAUACAUUAGCAUGGAAUAAUGAAAUAGGACGUUUGAUUCUAUUUUGUUGGUUUCUAGGAUCGACGUAAUGAUUAAUAGGGAUAGUUGGGGGCAUUAGUAUUCAAUUGUCAGAGGUGAAAUUCUUGGAUUUAUUGAAGACUAACUACUGCGAAAGCAUUUGCCAAGGAUGUUUUCAUUAAUCAAGAACGAAAGUUAGGGGAUCGAAGACGAUCAGAUACCGUCGUAGUCUUAACCAUAAACUAUGCCGACUAGGGAUCGGAUGAUGUUAAUUUUUAAUGACUCAUUCGGAC